UUCUCAAAUCAGGUGAGACUACCCGCUGAACUUAAGCAUAUCACUAAGCGGAGGAAAAGAAACUAACCAGGAUUCCCCUAGUAACGGCGAGUGAACCGGGAAGAGCUCAAGCUGAAAAUCUUCGGAAUUGUGGUCUAUAGGUGCGGACUCGCGCAGCCCCAGGUAUAAAUCCGUUCUUGGAAUUGGGUGCCAGAGAGGGUUAGAGCCCCGUCUUUGACUUGGGUAGCUGUGCGUGGCGAGUCUUUACCGGAGAGUCGGCUUGCUUGGGAAUGCAGGCCAAAAUGGGUGGUAAACUUCAUCUAAAGCUAAAUAUUGGCGAGAGACCGAUAGCGAACAAGUACUGUGAAGGAAAGAUGGAAAGAACUUUGAAAAGAGAGUGAAAAAGGGCUUGAAAUUGUUAAGAGGAGAAGUGAUUGGAGCAUAUCAUACGGCGUGGGGUUCCAGGGACGGGACUUGUCUUGUCUUGCACCAUCCCGCGCUGUUGGUCAGCAUCGGUUCUGUGUGGGGGAGAAAACCCUUUGCGUUGAUGGCUUCGGCUUGAUCGUUUUGGGCGAAACCUUGGACGGGACCGAGGCAGCAAGUCUACGCUUGGCGGCCGGCCCCCUGCCCGUUUUGGGGCGCGUUGUACACCCUUUUGGCGUCUGCGGCGCGUGUUGGAACGAUGCGGGGGAGCGCUGGACCUGUAGACUCGAGAUGUUGGCACAAUGGCUUCAAUCAGCCCGUCUGGAAACACGGACCAAGGAGUCUAACACGUAUGCGAGUAGUAAGGUGGCAAACCUUGGAUGCGCAAUGAAAGUAAAUGUAGGUGGGAUCCGCAAGGUGCACCAUCGACCGACCAGGAUCUUUUUGUGAAAGGUUUGAGUAAGAGCAUAUUUGUUGGGACCCGAAAGAUGGUGAACUAUGCCUGAAUAGGGUGAAGCCGGAGGAAACUCCGGUGGAGGCUCGUAGCGGUACUGACGUGCAAAUCGUUCGUCAAAUUUGGGUAUAGGGGCGAAAGACUAAUCGAACCAUCUAGUAGCUGGUUCCCUCCGAAGUUUCCCUCAGGAUAGCUGGAGCUCAUACAAGUUUUAUCAGGUAAAGCGAAUGAUUAGAGGCAUCGGGGGUGAAACAUCCUCGACCUAUUCUCAAACUUUAAAUAGGUAAGAAGUCCUUGCCACUUGAUUGGGCAUGGGCAUUGAAUUGGAGUUCCAAGUGGGCCAUUUUUGGUAAGCAGAACUGGCGAUGCGGGAUGAACCGAAAGUCGUGUUAAGGUGUUUAACUGUCGGCUCAUGUAGACCCCACAAAGGGUGUUGGUUCAUAUAAACAGCAGGACGGUGGCCAUGGAAGUCGGAAUCCGCUAAGGAGUGUGUAACAACUCACCUGCCGAAUGGACUAGCCCCGAAAAUGGAUAGCGCUCAAGCCGACGACCUAUACACGACCGUUGGCCUAAAUGCGAUGGGCCAACGAGUAGGAGGGCGUGGAGAUUGUGAAGCAGCCUUGGACGUGAGUCUGGGUGAAACGGUCUCUAGUGCAGAUCUUGGUGUUAGUAGCAAAUAUUCAAAUGAGAACUUUGAAGGCCGAAGUGGAGAAAGGUUCCAUGUGAACAGCAAUUGGACAUGGGUUAGUCGGUCCUAAGAGAUAGGGGAACUCUGUAUCAAGGGGGCAUUUUGCCCUGCCUAUCGAAAGGGAACCGGGUUAAUAUUCCCGGACCAGCGUGUGGAUAAUGCAUGGCGACAUAAGUGAACUUCACGACGGCGGCGGGAGCCCUGGGAAGAGUUGUCUUUUCUUCUUAACAAGAAGCCCACCGUGGAAUCGGGUUAACCGGAGAUACGGUAGGAAGCUUGGCAAAGCACCUUACGUCUUGAGGUGUCCGGUGCGCUCUCGACGCCCCUUGAAAAGUGAAGGGAAGCGUUCAUUCUCACACCUGGCCGUACUCAUAACCGCAUCAGGUCUCCAAGGUGAGUAGCCUCUGGUCGAUAGAAUAAUGUAGGUAAGGGAAGUCGGCAAGAUAGAUCCGUAACUUCGGGAAAAGGAUUGGCUCUAAGGGCUGGGUGUUGGGGCCUCUCUCUGGAGCCUCGCCUAGAGCACGGAACGCGGACCCUCACGGGACUGUGAGCCGAGCACCGGGCGUGGUGACGGGGUGCUGGCAUUCCCUUCACGAGGAACAGCCAACUUAGAACUGUAACGGACAAGGGGAAUCCGACUGUUUAAUUAAAACAGAGCAUUGUGAUGGCCUCAAAGAGGUGUUGACACAAUGUGAUUUCUGCCCAGUGCUCUGAAUGUCAAAGUGAAGAAAUUCAACCAAGCGCGGGUAAACGGCGGGAGUAACUAUGACUCUCUUAAGGUAGCCAAAUGCCUCGUCAUCUAAUUAGUGACGCGCAUGAAUGGAUCAACGAGAUUCCUACUGUCCCUA
rnacentral:rRNA from 11 species